rnacentral:lncRNA from 1 species
UGAGGUCCAUUGUGGCAACAUUUCUUCUGUUUUUCAUUGUUCUCUCUCCCAUGGUGAUGUUACCAUCUGAGGCAGCAAGACCAUCUCGAGGUAAUUAAAGCUUGUUAAUUAAGAGUAUACACUAACGGUGUGUAUAUUAUCAUAAUUAAAUGUAUAAUACAUAUACAAAAUUUGAGUUUCGAUCUCAAAUUUAGAUUCGUUAUCAUAUAUCAUAUGGUAACAGUGUAUGUGCUAUUAGUGUACAACAGAUUAAUCCAUUAAUAUAUAUCUUAUCAAAUUAACUUUAUUUGUCAUGUUAGUUGAUCUUUUCUUUGUCCUGUUUAUGCAUCCAGGACUUCGUCAAAAUUGUCCUGCUUGUGUUUGUUGUGCACCACCUCCACAACCAGGCUUUUGUUGCCGCUGUUUCUGUGGUGCACCUAGUGGUCCUAUCCAAGGAGAAAUUCAAAGCAAUAUGCCAUGAGGGCACCAUGCAGCUUGCUUGCCAUGAUCUGUUGGCAUUGAGUUAUAUUUGUGAGGAAAGAUGUAUGGAAUUAAUUAAGAUAUCAUGCAGAAUCAGUAGAGUUUGUUAUAACAAUAAAGGAGUAAUUCUAGUACUCCCACAUUUAAUUUGAAGAUCUUUACUUUGAUCGAAUGUAAUUUGGCUAACUUUUGAUGGAUGUUCU